AUAGUAUAUAACUCUAGCUUUUAAAGCCUUUUACCCUUGUUGAUUUGAUGCUACGUGUGUAUCCGUGUAUAUAAUAUAUAGUCCCAUCAAAUAAUUUACAUGAGAAUAUAAUAAGACUAUUUCUAACUAGUGUAGAAAUUUUUCUAAAGUUCUCCCCCACGAGCAUUGACAUAGUUGCUCUAGAUUCCUCUCUUCUCCUCCUUCGAAGACCUAAAAGACUAAAAAGAAGAAAAAAUGAUGUAGUGAUCAUCAUAGAUCGAGAAAACAAUAAGAGCCGAUCCAAAUCCAUGGCUAGUCCUAGCAACAAAGGCAAAGACAUCGCCGAAGAGUCACCGUCUCAAUCUCAGCCGCAACAACCACAAUCACCUCCUAACCCGCCAGCGUUAAGCCGGUACGAGUCACAGAAAAAGAGAGACUGGAACACCUUUUGUCAAUACCUUCGUAACCAGCAGCCACCGGUUCACGUCUCACAGUGUGGCUCAAAUCACAUCCUAGACUUCCUCCAAUAUCUUGACCAGUUUGGAAAGACAAAGGUUCAUGCACAUGGAUGCGUGUUCUUCGGACAAGUUGAGCCCUCGGGACAGUGUAACUGUCCUUUAAAGCAAGCGUGGGGGAGUUUAGAUGCUUUGAUCGGACGGCUGCGAGCAGCCUAUGAGGAGAACGGAGGGUUGCCGGAGAGAAACCCGUUUGCCGGCGGUGGAAUUAGGGUUUUUCUUAAAGAAGUGAGAGAUUCACAGGCGAAGGCAAGAGGAGUCCCUUACAAGAAAAGGAAGAAGAAGAAGAAGAGGAAUCCUAUGAGGAGUGAUCAUGAUGUUGAAGAUGGUACUGCAGGGACUAGUAGCUCCAACUUGCCAUCUUAGCAAGCAAACAAAAAACAUAUAAUAAAAAAAUGUGGAAUUAAUUAAUGGUUUUAUGAUUAAGGGCAUGACUGGUACAAACGCAUCAGUUGUGGGCACGGGAGUCUGCAGAAGCAGUUUCGUCUGACUCCAACAAGAGGUUCGUGUAUGAUGUUGGAGCUUAUAAUAGUGAUGAUGAUAAAACUGACCAAAACGGGAUGGGAGAUUUCUUGAACGAGAUGGCGGCCAUGAUGAAUCUCUGCAUAGUGUAAGACUCUGCAUAGUGUACAAGAUCUGUUUAAUGAGAUGUUUCAAGGAGACGCCGCAGCAUUCCCAUCCUCAUCAUCAACGUCUUGGCUCGUGUCUCCAUCUGUUUGUUAUGUAAUCUAGGGAAGCCGACGGUGGUGGUUCUCUUGAAGAGGGUGGCAACAGAAGUAAAGACGUUAAUGGGGGCAGUUCUCAUAAGGAGGUUGGUGAUACCCAUUCCACAACUCACAAGAUAGAAGUCCCGAGUUUAAAGGUUGGCAAGCUUAUUGGUAAAGGUGGGGAGAUAGUAAGGAAUCUUCAGCUCAGUUCUGGUGUCAAAAUCUAAAUUUUGAGGGAUGCAGAGGCUGAUCUAAAUUCAGCACUAAGACCGGUGGAGAUAAUUGGGAAUCUUGCUUCUAUUGAGAAAGCAGAAAAGCUUAUCAGUGAAGUUAUAGCUCAGUCUGAAGGAGAAGGUAUACAUGCCCUUUUUGUAAGAGGGGCCCAGAACAAAUAUAUAUCAAAGUUCCAAAUGAUGGUAUUCCCUGGUAAUUGUUCUGCCUGGCCAUUUUUAAGUGAUACCUAAUCCAUCUUCGGCAGGUUGGUGUGAUCAUUGGCCAGGGAGACUAUCAAGAACAUGCAGACAAAGUCGAGAGCACGGAUUCAGACAGGCUAUGACGAUGGUUGUUGGGGCUGCAGUAGUGAUUUUAAAACUGUUUUUGUGUUAUUAGUUAAUU